UAGAAGGAUAUUCUGGCUGUCAUAUGAGUAACCUGUCAGGUUGACCAGGCUACCUGGCUGGUGAGGCAGUUCCCACUUUUUUGCAGGCUCUUCAUGUGUGUGUUUGUGAAGCACUCACUUUGUGAGUGAGGUAGAAGGGCAAGCCUUGAAGGAAAGCAGUUUAUUCCUUGUAACUUCUUCCUGGAACCACAACGUAGCUCAAGAUCCAUUAGAGCUCUUAGAUCAUACCUCCCUUUGCUUUGUGAAUUGCAUAUGUAUGACAUUUACAUUUUAUUUGAAUCAAUGCUCUUCAGAGAGUUCAGUAGAAUUAAUAUGUCAUAGCUUAGUAAGAUUUUAGAGUACAUAUAACAUUUUGUUUUGAAUUUAACUAAAAUAUUUAAUAAUGGUUACAGAAAUAACUGAAUAAAAAGAUAACUUUCUCAGUUCAAGGAGAUCUGACAGAGAGGAAAGAGAUAAAUAUAUCCCAAAGACUCUGAUUCACAGUGAUGUGUAUAAUUUUAGAAAUGUCACUAGAAAAAACAGAAACUUCUCUCAGUUUUGAAGUCUUGAAAAAAGUCUAUGGCAGUUUUCAGAAAAUGUUUUCUUUCAUAGUAAAAAAAAAUCAUGUGACAUGUACUUCAUUCAAAUUUUGAACAAGAAUUUAAGAUAAUGUAGUACUUUAAAAUAAAACACAGAGCUGU
rnacentral:lncRNA from 1 species